rnacentral:rRNA from 1 species
CCUANGGGAGGCAGCAGUAAGGAAUAUUGGUCAAUGGGCGCAAGCCUGAACCAGCCAUGCCGCGUGCAGGAUGACGGCCCUAUGGGUUGUAAACUGCUUUUGUACGGGAAAAAACCCUCCGACGUGUCGGGGGCUGAUGGUACCGUAAGAAUAAGGAUCGGCUAACUCCGUGCCAGCAGCCGCGGUAAUACGGAGGAUCCUAGCGUUAUCCGGAUUUAUUGGGUUUAAAGGGUGCGCAGGCGGAAUAAUAAGUCAGUGGUGAAAUCCUACAGCUUAACUGUAGAACUGCCAUUGAUACUGUUAUUCUUGAGUAUAUUUGAAGUGGGCGGAAUGUGUCAUGUAGCGGUGAAAUGCUUAGAUAUGACACAGAACACCAAUUGCGAAGGCAGCUCACUAAGCUAUAACUGACGCUCAUGCACGAAAGCGUGGGGAUCAAACAGGAUUAGAUACCCCANUANUC